rnacentral:rRNA from 1 species
CGAGCCUGAUGCAGCCAUGCCGCGUGUGUGAAGAAGGCCUUCGGGUUGUAAAGCACUUUCAGCGGGGAGGAAGGCGAUACGGUUAAUAACCUUGUUGAUUGACGUUACCCGCAGAAGAAGCACCGGCUAACUCCGUGCCAGCAGCCGCGGUAAUAA